rnacentral:piRNA from 1 species
CAAGGAUUUGGUUCUCUGCCCUCACAG